ACCGCCUCGGCGUUCCCAGUGAGCCUCUGCUGUGCUCUCGUUUCCCAAAAGUCCUAAAAUCCCGUCAUGGAGGCUGAGGUGAAGGCGGGCCUUUCAGGAAGCGUUUCCCAGAGGGGGCAGCCAGGGAGUCCCUGCCGGCGGCCGUGGGGGUGCCGCGGGGGCGGACCGGCGGGAGUAGCGCUGCACAGAGGGGCUCGUCAGUGCGAUUUUCGCAAGGCAGCGGGGUUUGUGAGGAGGACGUUGUCACGGGUCUUUUUUUUGCUACGAAGAUGGGAAGUGCGCAUUUUCCCCCUGGGAAUUUGGCUGUCGGUGGCUGACUGGACACUUUACUCAUGAAAGAGAACAGAGCCAGCAGUCACGUAUACCUGCUGAUAUCCUUGAGGAACCCUUGACUGGCUGGAACUCGGAUCUGCUGCUGAUACAUAAAAUGUGGUUUUGUUCUUUACAACCGUGCCUGAAGGAAUUGUUUUAAACAGUGUGCAAAAUCAAAGUAAAAUAUAUAUAUCUAUAUAAAAAAAUCAUGUACUUUAUAAUUUCAUGAUUUAAGUUGCAAAACUGCCUCGCAACUCUAUGUGUGAUUAAAAUCUCCUUAAGGUUUAAAGAUUCCCAAUGCAACGCACUUAGGGCCGAGUUUUGCAGCUCUGACGUCAGUACAUAUGUUAGCUCUAGCUUUUGUAGGAGCAAGAUGUUCCGUUUCCUCAUAGUUUUAGUUAAGAAAAUCUAGGACUAGGUGUUCAGCAUCAGUAGUUUGACAUUCCUCCUCUGAUCUUGCUGGAUGUGCUGAUUUACAUGAACUGAUCAACCAGGCCUAAGAUUUAAACCCAGACUGUUCACAUUGAAAGAUAAACACUGCUAAAUCAUUAAAUACUGCUUACAUAGCAUUCUUAAAAGUAAACACACAAAUAUUUCCAGUGUUGUAAGGACCAAAUUCUCACUGCUUUCUCUGAUUUUUCACUUCUCUGUGAAAUGCUGAUAUUAUUCUUACGCAGAAGGUUUCCUUUCUUUUUCUUUGCCUACUACAAAAUACGCUAACAUUGGAGAUUUGCCAAUGCCCUAAAUGACCUAAAGUAGAUGACCUACAUUUAGGGGAAAAGAAGGUUAAAGGCUGAAAAACAAGUUGGUUGCGUUUUUUUUUUUCCUGGAAGAUACUUUGGAGAGCAAUGAUUGGCCACAAGACCUGCUGUAGCAAAGAGUUGGGCUUUGUUUCAACCAGAGGCAAAGGGCUUUGUAACUGAAUUGAGAACUUCCCACUUCAACUGCUUGUGUCCCAAGGUACUUAACAUGAAUGUCACACAGGAACAGUUGUGAAUAAAAACAGUACUAUUGUCAUUGAAGUUGUCAUGGUCAUUAAAAGGUAGAACUGAGCUCUCAGGGAAAAUCCAGGUCCUGAGGCUUAAGUCACUCACAAAGCUCCAUAGGGGUCCUGCAGAUUUUGUGUUACACUAGAGCAGGCUCUACUUUGUUUCAUGAAGAAACAGUUCCGAAGUUAUUUAUGGUCAGCAGCAGUGUGGGCUUAUGCUAGCAAACAAAUGACCUCUAUUAACAUUCAUGUGGUUUAGAAAUCACCUUUUAAAAAUACCAAAACUUUCCAUUCUGUAUCUUAUAAAGCUGACUUACCCCAGGAAACUAUGAGUCUUCAGAGGCUUGUGAGGAUACACCAUUUUACAAAUACCCAUAAACUCUGUAGGAUUUGGGUUCUUCUAGAGACUGUGAGCAUAUCUGCUCCAAACCUUGAGUUCCUACAGUCAAGCAUCUAAAUCAUAUUUCCCACAGGAAUCGGUGCUUGAGAAAUACAACCACCUAUGUAUAAAUGUAUGUGUUACGCUGUUGACACAUAUAGGUGUGAAAGCUAGCUACAUUAGCUUCCAGCCCUGUUUCACCUCCCCACAAGCAACACUAUAACUUGCGUUGCUAUUCCACUCCCUCCUUUUCUAUUUUUUGCUGCUCACAGCUAGCAUAAGUUCCCUCAAAGCAGAUGGCUUGUGUUUUCUCUAAAUUACUAAGGGAAAAAACUCACAAAUAACACACAUGAAUAAAAACUC